GGGAUGUCGUGAUGGAGCUCGUAUGAACGGCGGAACCUUUUUCAACUGUCUCUUCCCCCACCCUUCUAAAUUCUUUCCUAUGUGAAGAAACCUAGAUACAUCAGAAAGACGAGAAGACCCUGUCGAGCUUUAACCACUAGGUGAGUUUACUUAUCCCUUUUUAAAUAUCACCAAAAGGUUUUGGUUGGGGCAACCACGGAGAAAAAAAAUCCUCCAGAUUAAAUAGAAGAAAACCCUUCACUAUUACGCUUUCAAGAACCAGGAACUGGUAAUCGGAAAAAGUUACCGCAGGAUAACAGCGUUAUCUCCUCUAAGAGUCCUUAUUGACGAGGAGGUUUGCGACCUCGAUGUUGGAUUGGGGCCCCCUUAGGUGCAGAAGCUCUAAACGGUUAGACUGUUCGUCUAUUAAAGCCCUACAUGAUCUGAGUUAAAACC
rnacentral:rRNA from 1 species